UACCAGCACCCCGAGUGGUCGGGACGAUUAAUGGGCCUAAAGCAUCCGUAGCCGGUCAUGCAAGUCCUCCGUUAAAUCCAGCCGCUCAACGGUUGGGCUGCGGAGGAUACUACGUGGCUAGGAGGCGGGAGAGGCAAGCGGUACUCAGUGGGUAGGGGUAAAAUCCUUUGAUCCAUUGAAGACCACCAGUGGCGAAGGCGGCUUGCCAGAACGCGCUCGACGGUGAGGGAUGAAAGCUGGGGGAGCAAACCGG
rnacentral:rRNA from 1 species